CCUACGGGUGGCAGCAGUGGGGGAUAUUGCACAAUGGGGGAAACCCUGAUGCAGCGACGCCGCGUGUGGGAAGACGGUCCUCUGGAUUGUAAACCACUGUCCCCAGGGACGAAGAUGACGGUACCUGGGGAGGAAGCUCCGGCUAACUACGUGCCAGCAGCCGCGGUAAUACGUAGGGAGCGAGCGUUGUCCGGAAUUACUGGGGGUAAAGGGAGCGUAGGCGGGACUGCAAGUUGGGUGUCAAAUCUACCGGCUCAACCGGUAGCCGCACUCAAAACUGCAGUUCUUGAGUGAAGUAGAGGCAGGCGGAAUGCCUAGUGUAGCGGUGAAAUGCGUAGAUAUUAGGAGGAACACCAGUGGCGAAGGCGGCCUGCUGGGCUUUUACUGACGCUGAGGCUCGAAAGUGUGGGGAGCGAACAGGAUUAGAUACCCGAGUAGUC
rnacentral:rRNA from 1 species